GAUGAAGAACGUAGCGAAAUGCGAUAAGUAAUGUGAAUUGCAGAAUUCAGUGAAUCAUCGAAUCUUUGAACGCACAUCGCGCCCCCUGGUAUUCCGGGGGGCAUGCCUGUUCGAGCGUCAUUUCACCACUCAAGCCUCGCUUGGUAUUGGGCAACGCGGUCCGCCGCGUGCCUCAAAUCGUCCGGCUGGGUCUUCUGUCCCCUAAGCGUUGUGGAAACUAUUCGCUAAAGGGUGUUCGGGAGGCUACGCCGUAAAACAACCCCAUUUCUAAGGUUGACCUCGGAUCAGGUAGGGAUACCCGCUGAACUUAAGCAUAUCAAUAAGCGGAGGA
rnacentral:misc_RNA from 1 species